rnacentral:rRNA from 1 species
UAGGACGAACGCUGGCGGCGUGCUUAACACAUGCAAGUCGAACGGAAAGGCCCUGCUUUUGUGGGGUGCUCGAGUGGCGAACGGGUGAGUAACACGUGAGUAACCUGCCCUUGACUUUGGGAUAACUUCAGGAAACUGGGGCUAAUACCGGAUAGGAGCUCCUGCUGCAUGGUAGGGGUUGGAAAGUUUCGGCGGUUGGGGAUGGACUCGCGGCUUAUCAGCUUGUUGGUGGGGUAGUGGCUUACCAAGGCUUUGACGGGUAGCCGGCCUGAGAGGGUGACCGGCCACAUUGGGACUGAGAUACGGCCCAGACUCCUACGGGAGGCAGCAGUGGGGAAUAUUGCACAAUGGGCGGAAGCCUGAUGCAGCAACGCCGCGUGCGGGAUGACGGCCUUCGGGUUGUAAACCGCUUUCGCCUGUGACGAAGCGUGAGUGACGGUAAUGGGUAAAGAAGCACCGGCUAACUACGUGCCAGCAGCCGCGGUGAUACGUAGGGUGCGAGCGUUGUCCGGAUUUAUUGGGCGUAAAGGGCUCGUAGGUGGUUGAUCGCGUCGGAAGUGUAAUCUUGGGGCUUAACCCUGAGCGUGCUUUCGAUACGGGUUGACUUGAGGAAGGUAGGGGAGAAUGGAAUUCCUGGUGGAGCGGUGGAAUGCGCAGAUAUCAGGAGGAACACCAGUGGCGAAGGCGGUUCUCUGGGCCUUUCCUGACGCUGAGGAGCGAAAGCGUGGGGAGCGAACAGGCUUAGAUACCCUGGUAGUCCACGCUGUAAACGGUGGGUACUAGGUGUGGGGUCCAUUCCACGGGUUCCGUGCCGUAGCUAACGCUUUAAGUACCCCGCCUGGGGAGUACGGCCGCAAGGCUAAAACUCAAAGGAAUUGACGGGGCCCCGCACAAGCGGCGGAGCAUGCGGAUUAAUUCGAUGCAACGCGUAGAACCUUACCUGGGUUUGACAUGGAUCGGGAGUGCUCAGAGAUGGGUGUGCCUCUUUUGGGGUCGGUUCACAGGUGGUGCAUGGCUGUCGUCAGCUCGUGUCGUGAGAUGUUGGGUUAAGUCCCGCAACGAGCGCAACCCUUGUUCACUGUUGCCAGCACGUUAUGGUGGGGACUCAGUGGAGACCGCCGGGGUCAACUCGGAGGAAGGUGGGGAUGACGUCAAGUCAUCAUGCCCCUUAUGUCCAGGGCUUCACGCAUGCUACAAUGGCUGGUACAGAGAGUGGCGAGCCUGUGAGGGUGAGCGAAUCUCGGAAAGCCGGUCUCAGUUCGGAUUGGGGUCUGCAACUCGACCUCAUGAAGUCGGAGUCGCUAGUAAUCGCAGAUCAGCAACGCUGCGGUGAAUACGUUCCCGGGGCUUGUACACACCGCCCGUCAAGUCAUGAAAGUUGGUAACACCCGAAGCCGGUGGCCUAACCGUUGUGGGGGAGCCGUCGAAGGUGGGACUGG